GAGCCGCUAGCUCAAUUGGCAGAGCAACAGACUCUUAAUCUGUAGGUUCUCGGUUCGAUUCCGAGGCGGCUCACCA
rnacentral:tRNA from 1 species